UACAGAGGGUGCGAGCGUUAACCGGAAUUACUGGGCGUAAAGCGCACGUAGGUGGCGACGUAAGUCGGGCGUGAAAGCCCCGGGCUCAACCUGGGAAUUGCAUUCGAGACUGCAUUGCUGGAGUACGGAAGAGGAAGGCGGAAUUCCCGGUGUAGCGGUGAAAUGCGUAGAUAUCGGGAGGAACAUCAGUGGCGAAGGCGGCCUUCUGGUCCAGUACUGACACUCAAGUGCGAAAGCGUGGGGAGCAAACAGG
rnacentral:rRNA from 1 species